GAUAUACUCGCUCAGUCUGGAAUUACUUGCCGCAGAAUUGGUUGUAUCUAGACGUAUUUUAGUUGUACAUACAUCCGUUUUUAUCCAUUUCUAUGACAAGUAAUUCGGGACUGAAGAAGUAGCAU
rnacentral:pre_miRNA from 1 species